GUUGAAAUCAAGAGUGUGUCGAACAAAGUCAAGAGGGGGAAAAAAACUGCUUGCUUUAUAACACUACACUAGCCAGUUUCUCAUAUGAUGAGCUACUGUUUCCUUCCCAGUCUCGAGUUCUUUUAGGCUGUUGAUAGUUUUUGGCCCUUUCUUUUUUUUUUUGCCUGGGAAAGCUGAGAAUUCCUACAUGCUUGCUAUAAAGAAACAGCCCAUUCAGGAAUUUUCUUGCGCCUCACAUAAUUAACUUGACUUUCCUACCUAGGCACUAGAAAUUUUUUUCUUUCUUGUUCUUUGAAAUAGUCACUUUCUGU
rnacentral:misc_RNA from 1 species